UAAAGUAGGUGGUAUGGGGGAUGUAGUUGGUUCUUUACCAAAGGUAUUAAAGCAAUUAGGACACGAUGUUCGGAUCUUUUUGCCUUAU
rnacentral:tRNA from 1 species